rnacentral:rRNA from 1 species
UACGUAGGGGCAAGCGUUGUCCGGAAUCAUUGGGCGUAAAGAGCGUGUAGGCGGCCAGAAAAGUCCGCUGUGAAAACUCGAGGCUCAACUUCGAGCUGUCGGUGGAAACUUUCUGGCUAGAGUCCGGAAGAGGAGAAUGGAAUUCCUGGUGUAGCGGUGAAAUGCGCAGAUAUCAGGAAGAACACCGGUGGCGAAGGCGGCGACCUGGUCCAUUACUGACGCUGAGGCGCGACAGCGUGGGAGCAAACAGG